UGGUGAAGUCUGAGAAUUUGGACCAAAACAAAUAAGAAAACAAUAACCAGGCAUUUAUUAAGAGAAACGAAGGAAUACCCAAAGCCAUAAAUUAACUAGCACAAGGUACUAACUAUAACAUCCAUGAGUUUAGGAAUUCCUCCAUUAUUCUCUACUGCAACCAAACUCUUCAAAAGUACUUCCUUUUUAAGAAAUAAUUACAAUUUAUUGGGUUUCACCAUAAAACCUUCAUUUUCUUCCUCUUCUUUUUCUAUUUCUGGGUGUUGUUGUGAUAAUCGUAAUACCCUUUCUUCUCCAUCCACCAUGGAGAAUGACAAGAUUCAGGGGAUUAAAUCUGAUGAUAAAUAUUCCAAAGAACUAGAUGUUGCUGUUAGAGUUGUUCAGAUGGCUUGUUCGCUUUGCCAAAGGGUUCAAGAAAGUUUGGUUUCUAAAAGAAAUGAACAGGUUAAAUCUAAGGAUGAUAAUUCUCCUGUUACCGUUGCUGAUUGGAGUGUUCAAGCAACUGUUAGUUGUGUAUUAUCUGAGUGCUUUGGGAGAGAGAAUUUGUCAAUUAUUGCUGAAGAAGAUGUCGAGGCUCUUUCACGGGCUGAUGCUGUUGGUUUAUUGGAAUCAGUGGUCAAAGCCGUAAAUGAAUGCUUAGCUGAAGCACCUAAAUAUGGACUUAAAGGCCCCAAUGGAACUCUUGUCACUUCAGAAGUUCUUGAGGCUAUAAGCAGAUGCAACUCGUCAGGGGCUUCUCGGGGAAGACAUUGGGUACUCGAUCCUGUGGAUGGCACGCUGGGAUUUGUACGUGGUGAUCAGUAUGCGGUCGCUUUAGCUAUGAUAGAGGAUGGUGAAGUUGUGAUUGGAGUUCUCGGGUGCCCUAAUUAUCCGAUGAAGAAGGAGUGGUUAAAGUAUCACCACCGUGAUUAUCAGGAAAUGUCGAAGUUGUCCCCAUCCUCAUCUGAAUCAUGGAACAAAGGUUGUGUGAUGUAUGCAAAGAGAGGUAGUGGCAAGGCAUGGAUGCAGCCUUUGGUUCACCAAACUGAGAAUCUUGUGUGGCCAAACUCAGCGAGGGAAAUUCGGGUUUCAGCAAUUGAUGAUCCUGCACUAGCUACCUUUUGUGAACCAGUUGAGAAGGCCAAUUCAAGCCACUCAUUUACAGCGGGACUGGCACAGUCUGUUGGACUUAGGACACAGCCACUUCGCGUCUACAGCAUGGUCAAAUAUGCAGCCAUAGCUCGAGGAGAUGCUGAGAUAUUUAUGAAGUUUGCCAGAGCUGGUUACAAAGAAAAAAUUUGGGAUCAUGCAGCUGGUGUUGUCAUCAUACAAGAGGCUGGCGGUAUGGUAACUGAUGCUGGUGGGCGCCCGUUGGAUUUCUCGAAGGGUGUUUUUUUAGAAGGACUUGAUCGGGGUAUAAUUGCUUGCUCUGGAGCUGCACUUCUUGAUAAAAUAGUCAGGGCUGUUGACCUUAGCUGGGACUCUUCUAAUCUGUGAGGAAUUAAUAUCUAACUCCCUAUUUAUCCCCGGAGGAUACGGCGUCUCUUUUUAAUGUGGCAGUUCUUAACGAAUGCAGGAGAAAAGAAGUUGACAGAGAAAAGUGGUUGCUGAUGAUUAAGGUCAGUAGGCUCUCUCCCAUCUACUAUCCACAGAACAGACUCUUUGUUUGUUUUAGGAAAAAAGAAGUGUCUUACUAGGAUAUAAGAUGGCUUACCCAUGGAUUUCGGGUUCAUAUUUCUCUUUUUUAAAACAUAGUAGAAAGUUGCUUCUUUGGGUAUUCUCUGGUUAAUUUUAGGGAGUACCAUAUUUUUGUAAAGUUGCUCUACACUUGAUAAUAAAUGACACAAUCUCAUGUUCUA